AUGCCACGGUUUCUUCAAAAUGAGCAUGAACAAGCUGUUGGCAUGGUCAGAGCUAGGUUGGCGCACUCUGACGUCGCAAAUCAUUUUCAUUUGUCAAGAAUAUUAAUAUCGAGACUGAUGAUUCGUCUGAGGCAAACUGGCUCAACAAAUGAUAGACCAAGUAGCGACAGACCCCAUGAGACGUCACAACGUCAAGACCGCGCCAUAUGUCUUUUGCACUUGCGCAACUGUACAUUGAAUGCAGGAAAUACGACCAGAGGAAUACCUGGUCGUCCCAACAGAAUUGCGGGUCAGACAGUUCGUCGAAGUCUCAGAGCGCAUGGACUUUAUUCAAGACGUAUCCUGAAAGAGCCGCUCUUUAAACAGCGUAAUAGGGCUGCAAGACAAGAUUGGGCCCGUGCAAGACGACGUUGGAGGUUGCACAUCUGGCAGCAUAUCCCUUUUACAGAUGAGUCCCGAUUUCCUCUCUGUUCUAGUGAUGGACGCAUGAGAGUAUACCGUAGUCAAGGUUAACGUUUGUCUGACUCUUGGUCAUGGAAACGGCUCGUUUCGGAGGCGGGAGUGUGAUGAUAUGGGGUGGAAUAUGUCACAACGGACGCACACAGUUCAAAAUCAUAGAUGGUAACUUGAAUGAUUUGAGAUAUAGGAAUGACCCUAUUGUUCUGCCUUUUAUUCGACAACGCGGUUUCAACCAUGUUUUCCAAUAAGAUAACGCUAGAUAUCAUGUGAAAAGGAUUUGUAUGGAGUAUCUUGAACAAAAUCAAAUUCUAGUUCUCCAACGGCCAGCAUUAUGACUGAAUUUGUCUCCUAUAAAACAUUCAACUUGGUAGCUAGACGUGUUUGAGAAAGGUAAAAUCCACCGGAAACGCCACAAAAUUUGCGUUUAGCUCUCAUAAAGGAGUUGAAUAAUAUAACCAAAGUCAACAAUGUGACUUUGAUAGGAUUUAUGCGUCGUAGGUGUGAAGCUGUGGUUGCUGCGAGAGUCGGUCAUACUCGAUUCUAAAUUCCACAAACUGAAAUUCCGGAUAAUAACUUUGAUCCGUCCUUAUUUCGGUUUAGGAAAUGACGUGGACGUUAUUUUUUUGUUACAGUGUCACGUAGAACGUUAUCAUAAACAUGUUUUUUCUUUUUGUUAUUGUUUUCUACUAAACGGUAAAAUAUUAUUUUUGAUUAAAGUGUUGCAUCGUUUCUUUUGUUGACUAGUAUAAAAUGUGACAAUUGUGUACAUAUUUAAACAUAGUUAGUUAUUCAAACGACGUACAUAAUGGUAAAUUUAAAAAAUGCAAAUUUCUUGUCACAAAUAUAGAUUGAAGAUUUCCGCUACUGAUUUUUCAAAAUAGGUGCAAUUUGGGUAAUCUUUCAGUAACGCCGAACAUUAGAACAAACUGUGAUAAAUAACUGACAAAAAAUUACUGUUUUUUUUUUCAGAAUUACCUUUCAACGGCAACAUGAUUUUAAUAAGAGGACUUUUUCCAUUACUGGUGUUUAAUUCAGUUUAUUUAUUCAACAUUACCAAAAUAAUGAUAGAAUAUUCUUCAAUGUGUGGACAUUAUAGUUGCAGUAGCAGUGAAAAAAACAGAUCUACAUUAGCUAUGGACAAGUUUGGUCUAUGUCCUUUAUGCAGUUGUAACACUAGGUGUAUCCAGUAUGGUAACUGUUGUCCUGAAGUAUUUUAUGCGCUCAAUAUUUCAUGUGUAAAUCCAGUGUUACUUGAAGGAGAUUAUGGUGGAAAUGAGGAUAAUAGAUAUCCAGUCAGCAUCAACAGAUAUAGAAAUCCUCCCGUUUUAAUGGUUACAUCUUGUCCACAAAGUUCCAUUGACAAUGAACAUAAUGUAUGUCAUGUAGAUGAUAAUUGGAACAAUCUAAUACGAAACAUGCCCCUAACAUCAUUGAAAACAGGUCUUACAUAUAGGAACAACCUUUGUUCAGUGUGUCACAAUGAGACUCCUGUAGAUCUAUUAGCAUGGGGAAUUGGUAUUGAUUGUCGUCGAAUCAGUAGACUUUAA
rnacentral:sRNA from 1 species